rnacentral:rRNA from 1 species
AGCGAACGUUAGCGGCGGGCCUAACACAUGCAAGUCGAGCGAGAAAGAGGCUUCGGCCUUGAGUAAAGCGGCGGACGGGUGAGUAACACGUAGGUAAUCUUCCCUUGAGCGGGGGACAACGAGCCGAAAGGCUCGCUAAUACCGCAUAAGUUCUCAGAGACUCCGGUUUUUGAGAGGAAAGCUAGGUAGCAAUAUCCGGCACUCGAGGAGGAGCCUGCGUAGCAUCAGCUAGUUGGUGGGGUAACGGCCUACCAAGGCGAAGACGCUUAGCUGGUCUGAGAGGAUGAUCAGCCACACUGAAACUGAGACACGGUUCAGACUCCUACGGGAGGCAGCAGUGGGGAAUAUUGGACAAUGGGCGCAAGCCUGAUCCAGCCACGCCGCGUGAGUGAUGAAGGCCUUCGGGUCGUAAAGCUCUGUGGGGAGGGACGAACCGCUGCUGGUUAAUACCCAGCAGCAUGACGGUACCUCCUUAGCAAGCACCGGCUAACUUCGUG